rnacentral:rRNA from 1 species
AUUGAACGCUGGCGGCAGGCCUAACACAUGCAAGUCGAGCGGAUGAGAGGAGCUUGCUCCUUGAUUUAGCGGCGGACGGGUGAGUAAUGCCUAGGAAUCUGCCUGGUAGUGGGGGAUAACGUUCCGAAAGGAACGCUAAUACCGCGUACGUCCUACGGGAGAAAGCAGGGGACCUUCGGGCCUUGCGCUAUCAGAUGAGCCUAGGUCGGAUUAGCUAGUUGGUGAGGUAAUGGCUCACCAAGGCGACGAUCCGUAACUGGUCUGAGAGGAUGAUCAGUCACACUGGAACUGAGACACGGUCCAGACUCCUACGGGAGGCAGCAGUGGGGAAUAUUGGACAAUGGGCGAAAGCCUGAUCCAGCCAUGCCGCGUGUGUGAAGAAGGUCUUCGGAUUGUAAAGCACUUUAAGUUGGGAGGAAGGGCAGUAAGUUAAUACCUUGCUGUUUUGACGUUACCGACAGAAUAAGCACCGGCUAACUCCGUGCCAGCCGCCGCCGUAAGAC